CAGCCGCCGCGGUAAUACGUAGGGUGCGAGCGUUAAUCGGAAUUACUGGGCGUAAAGCGUGCGCAGGCGGUUGUGUAAGACAGGUGUGAAAUCCCCGGGCUUAACCUGGGAACUGCGCUUGUGACUGCACAGCUAGAGUAUGGCAGAGGGGGGUGGAAUUCCACGUGUAGCAGUGAAAUGCGUAGAGAUGUGGAGGAACACCGAUGGCGAAGGCAGCCCCCUGGGCCAAUACUGACGCUCAUGCACGAAAGCGUGGGGAGCAAACAGGAUUAGAUACCCGCGUAGUCCUGUCUCUUAUACC
rnacentral:rRNA from 1 species